AGUGAAGGAAAAGAAACACAGGGAGGAGCCAGAGGGGCUCAGAUGCAGGGCCCAGGGAGCGGUCAGGAAGGAAGAAAUAAAUGAAGGCACCAGCCAGGCCGGAGAAACUUGCAAGUCGCUGUGACUGCUUCGGAUCCAGCACACCCCACCCACCUCGGGCUGUGGACGCCACCUGCAGCAGCCCGGGGAAGACGGAGGAAGAGGCGCUGGCUGCGGAGCAGGUCCUUGGCAAAGAGCGGAAGCAGGGACCCCACAAUGGCGACAAAUGGGUUCUCCGGGGCAAAUGGCAAAAGAGAGGAAGUUUCCCGUCGGACUUUCCCAAGCCCCCCUCUCCCCGCCCCUUCUUGCACCUGGACCUUCUGAGGCUGUCGCACCCCUCCCCUGGGCGGGGCCGGCACUAGGGAUACUGGAUUUCUCCUACUCUUCCCGCCCCUGGAUUCUUUCAGCCCUCACCCCCUCCCAGGAAAGAGGAAGAGAAGCAGCGGUGACGAGGACAGGCGGUGGUUGCCUACCCAGGAAUCCGAGGUGAGGCGGUGCCUGGGGUGCCCCACGGCUACAUGACGUGGUGCGGGCGGGUUUUUCCCGCGGGUGCGCGGCCUCAGCCGGUCACACUUUUGUAAGAGACUUGAAGAGCGUGGUCUACGGCUUGUGCUGCGCCGCAGGGGUGUAGACCCAGAGUGCAAGCACAGGCGAAGAUCAGACACUCAUUUCACACUUCUGAUAGAAAAAUGAAGAAUUCAGAACCUGACUGUAAGCUCAAGACAAGAUGCAACAAAAGGAAUAAAAACUCAAAGAUCUUGGAAAAGAAUUCCAGCAACAUCAAACCAAGGAGCACGGACUUGCAGGUUGCUCAUAAAUUCCAGGACCUCUACCGCAUCCACAGGCAGGUGGAGGGCCGUCCCCAUCACCAGCUCUACCAGUGGCACCUCUACCGGCAGGAAUUGGUCCUUCUCCUCCUCCAACUCCUUUACCUCGACUAAGUGAUAUACCACAUCCACCACUAUCACCUUUGUUUGGGGACCUCCUACAAGGAUUACUUCCUGCUCUAACUUAAGAAAUAAAUGUAUAAACCUGAACUCCAUGUAUUGAUUCUUGAACUGCAUGACUUGAUUCUCCAUGAAGAGAAUCAAAUGGUCAAAGGCAAAAUUUUGACUAGAGGUUUUUGGCACCUUCUAGCCCCCAAUAGUCAUUAAUAUGCAAAUAACUGCAUAGCUGUGCACAAGUAUGGUAUAAUAUUACAGAAUACGACCGCUGACUCUUGCUUUCCUUUGUGAACUCACCAUCUUAUGUUUCUCUUUCAGUUCAGUAUCUCAGUAAUUGGAAACUCCAUAGACAAUAUCAAAUUUAUGUAGACGGCAAAGGAGAAUUAAAGUGGUGUAAAGAUAAUUGUGUUAGUUUCCUAAGGCUGCCAUAACGAUUCCCACAAGCUGGGUGGUUUAUAAAAAACAGAAAUUUCUCUCUCACAGUUGUGGAGGGCAGAAGUCCACAAUAACAGUGUAGGUAGUGCCACACUCCCUGAAGGCUCUAGGGGACAAUCUCUUUCUUGCCUUUUCCAGCUUCCAGCAUUUUUGGCAUUCCUUGGUUCAUGGAAUAUCUCUGUUCUGUCUUCACACUGCCUUCUCCCAGUGUCUGUGUAUAAACUUCCCUCUUCCAGGAGUGAAUACAUGUGGUUGCAUUUAUGACCCACCGAACUGACUAUUACAUGUUGAUCUUUUACUCUGCACCAUUAUUACAUUUGUUUAUUAGUGCUAGUAUCUUUUUGAGGAUUCUUUGGCAUACUAGAUGUAUUAGUAUCAUGUCAUCUGCAAAAAGAUUUUCCAAUUUGAAUGCCUUUUAUUUCAUGUUCUGGCCUAUCUGCUAUGGCUACAACUUCCAGUAAAAUCUUGAACUGACGAUAACUGACAUCCUUGUCUUCUUCCUGAUUUUAACGGGAAAGACUUCAGUCUUUCAGCACUGAGUAUGACAUUAGCUGUGGGUUUUUCACAUGUGCCCUUUAUUAUGUUGAAGAAGUUCCUUUCUAUUCCUUUUCUAUUGAG
rnacentral:lncRNA from 1 species